GCAGGCGGGCGCCUGAGCCCUGGCACCGCGAUGGCGAGGAUCCGGCCAAGGUGUGGCCACCCCGCGACCACCAGCCUCAGCUUUUCCCAGAUCUCCUGCGGUGAUGCUUGAGCUGAGGCACAGGAAUCGCCUGGCACUCAGGGGUCCUUGUCCCUCGGCAGGGCCCCAGGGCCCUCAGGGAGGGUCCCUGGCAUGAUCCCCGCUCAAUACAAACUGACUUUUCAAUACAAACUGUGAAAGCCAGAAAACGAUGCAGUCCCAGAAGAUGUAUCAGGAUCCCGAGCUCUUUCUUAGCAGAAGGAACAGGGAACACUAGAUCUCCUCCAUCUUCCUACAGGAUGUGUUGACCUCCUGGGAGGGUGGUGGUUAAUUCCUAUUGCGAUAAACAACUUGCCUGACAGCACUCCUCUCACAGGAUAUCAAACCACUAAGCCAUCUGUGACCCACAAGUUGGAACAAGGUGAAGAACCAUGGAUGGUGGAAAGAGAAAUCCCAUGUGGGAGCUAUGCAGUCUCAUAGGGGGAUCCAGCAUUCCCAACCACAGCCUUCCUCUGAAGUAAAGGAGAGAGAAAGAAGGAUAUUCUCAGGCCCAAGAAUGAGCCAGGCCUUGAAAUCUGGGAUCUUCACUGUACAUUUAGCCUUUAUAGAACACGUGUGUCUAGAUAUAAGAAGAAGAAGCUGAUGGCCCAUUCCACAGUAACCUCACCUCAUUUUCCAAGUACCUUCUAAACAGAUUGGUGAGCCAUUGACUCCUAUUAAGACUGAUGUUCAAAAGAGGAACAAGAUUGAAGAAUAGGAGAAACACCUGUUCUACCAGGUUCCCCAACAAUUAAAGGAGCUGUGUUCUAAGAGCAGUAAUUCAUGCUUAUUGUGAGAAAUCGGACAUACAACUGUAAAGAAGAAAGUGAAAAGCAGCUGAUAAUUCCACUGCCGGGGUAAGGAAACGAUGUGAGGAUGAUAAGUGACGUAUACAGAUUCUCACCAACCAGUGAGUGCUAAGGUGGGAUUCAAAGCUGUCUUCAACACAGUUGGCUUGCUUCAUUUCCCAGCACUUCCAAAGUUGACAACAGUAAAAUGUUCUCCCCACAUUCUAUUCAGUUCUAGGCACUGUGCUGGCACACUAUGCAGAAAUAAAUAGGAGGAUCCCUGCCCCUCAGGGGUCAUUAUCAGGUAUGAGGACAGACUUGUACAUAAAUAACAGAAUGACUAAAUGACCACCAGAAUAGAGAAAGCCCAGGAAGGCAGAAAGUCACUUUGCAGCAAGACUAAGCAUGACUUUAUAAAAGAGACUUGAUAACAGUGAGAGUUAAGGUGUGUUUAGCAUUUACUUUGUAAGAGGCACUGUGCUAAUUGCUUUAUAUGCAUUUAUUAGAAAUUCCCCGGGUGGGGCACCUGGGUAGCUCAGUCAUUGAGUGUCUGCCUUCAGCUUAGAUCAUGAUCCUGGGGAUCCAGGGAUUGGGG